GAUGAACGCUGGCGGCGUGCUUAACACAUGCAAGUCGAACGAAGCACUAUUACAGAUUUCUUCGGAUUGAAAUUUUAGUGACUGAGUGGCGGACGGGUGCGUAACGCGUGGGUAACCUGCCUCACACAGGGGGAUAGCAGCUGGAAACGGCUGCUCAUACCGCAUAAGCGCCCCGUACCGCAUGGUACGGUGGGAAAAACUCCGGUGGUGUGAGAUGGACCCGCGUCUGAUUAGCUAGUUGGCAGGGCAACGGCCUACCAAGGCGACGAUCAGUAGCCGACCUGAGAGGGUGACCGGCCACAUUGGGACUGAGACACGGCCCAAACUCGUACGGGAGGCAGCAGUGGGGAAUAUUGCACAAUGGGGGAAACCCUGAUGCAGCGACGCCGCGUGAGCGAAGAAGUAGUUCGGUAUGUAAAGCUCUAUCAGCAGGGAAGAAGAAAUGACGGUACCUGACUAAGAAGCACCGGCUAAAUACGUGCCAGCCGCCGCAGUAA
rnacentral:rRNA from 1 species